CUUCCCGGUCGAGCGCUUUCCAGCUGGGUUCUUCUAGGUCUCUCCGAAAGUGUCAUCUUCUCUGGGCCCAGGAUGCCCAUGGGAACCACCAGAGCACCUGCGGGACAUCUGAUGCGGAGUGAAAGGCCAGACAUCUGCUCAGCUCUGGGGAUGGCAAACAUCACAGAUCUGGAGAGGCCAGCCACCUUAUUAACCAGUGCCUGGAGGUCAGAAACGCAGAGGUUUUCCCACUGAUGUGCUUUACCUGUUGUAUCCCAUGCCUGUCCAUCUGCCCAUCUUUCUUGGGAGCCAUCAAACCAUCUUUUAAAUGCAUUUCACGGUGAGUUCUUGUCAUCAGCGCCCUUCACCCAGAAAUGCUUACUCA